AAUCAACGCUGGCGGCGUGCCUCAGACAUGCAAGUCGAACGAUUAAAGCUCUCUUCGGAGAGUGUAUAGAGUGGCGCACGGGUGAGUAACACGUAAGUAAUCUACCUUUGAGUGGGGAAUAACAUCGGGAAACCGAUGCUAAUACCGCAUAAUGCAGCGGCAUCGCAAGAUGACAGUUGUUAAAGAAUUUAUUCGCUUGAAGAGGAGCUUGCGGCAGAUUAGCUAGUUGGUAAGGUAAUGGCUUACCAAGGCUACGAUCUGUAACCGGUCUAAGAGGACGGUCGGUCACACUGACACUGAAUAACGGGUCAGACUCCUACGGGAGGCAGCAGUCGGGAAUAUUGGACAAUGGGCGCAAGCCUGAUCCAGCCAUGCCGCGUGAGUGAUGAAGGCCUUAGGGUUGUAAAGCUCUUUCGUCCGGGACGAUAAUGACGGUACCGGAAGAAG
rnacentral:rRNA from 1 species